GAAUACUCAACAAUAAUGCAUACGGUGGAUGCCUUGGAUGAAAGUACCUAAGAAGGACGCACACGGCAAGCGAUAUGCUACGGGGAGCUGCCAAGAAGCUUUGAUCCGUAGAUUUCCGAAUAAGUUAACUGUCAGCUUUAUGCUGAAUUUUUUACCUAAUUCAUAAGUAAAAGAAGGGUACGCGCCGAACUGAAACAUCUAAUUAAGCGCAGGAAAAUAAAUCAAAAGAGAUUCCCCAAGUAGCGGCGAGCGAAAAGGGAACAGCCCAAACCAGGCGCAAGUCUGGGGUUGCGGGACCGAUAAUAUGUGAUGUAGUAAAGAUAGUAGAAAACUCUGGAAAGAGUUGCCAAAGAAGGUGACAGCCCUGUAAACGAAAUCUAAACUACCGCUAGUCGGAUUCCCAAGUAGCACAGGACACGUGUAAUCCUGUGUGAAUCUGUCAUGACCACAUGAUAAGGCUAAAUAUACUUUCAUACCGAUAGUGAACUAGUACCGCAAGGGAAAGGUGAAAAGAAGAGCGA
rfam:Candidatus Staskawiczbacteria bacterium RIFCSPHIGHO2_12_FTLL_38_11 rifcsphigho2_12_scaffold_37633, whole genome shotgun sequence.